rnacentral:rRNA from 1 species
GAUCAUGGCUCAGGAUGAACGCUGGCGGCGUGCUUAACACAUGCAAGUCGAACGAAGAUGCCGGAGUGCUUGCACUUUGGCAGACUGAGUGGCGGACGGUGAGUAACGCGUGGGUAACCUGCCUUAUACAGGGGGAUAACAGUUGGAAACGACUGCUAAUACCGCAUAAGCGCACGGUAUCGCAUGAUACAGUGUGAAAAACUCCGGUGGUAUAAGAUGGACCCGCGUCUGAUUAGCUUGUUGGUGAGGUAACGGCCCACCAAGGCGACGAUCAGUAGCCGGCCUGAGAGGGUGAACGGCCACAUUGGGACUGAGACACGGCCCAAACUCCUACGGGAGGCAGCAGUGGGGAAUAUUGCACAAUGGGGGAAACCCUGAUGCAGCGACGCCGCGUGAGUGAUGAAGUAUUUCGGUAUGUAAAACUCUAUCAGCAGGGAAGAUAAUGACGGUACCUGACUAAGAAGCACCGGCUAAAUACGUG